rnacentral:rRNA from 1 species
UACGUAGGGUGCGAGCGUUGUCCGGAAUUAUUGGGCGUAAAGAGCUCGUAGGCGGUUUGUUGCGUCUAUCGUGAAAACCUGCAGCUUAACUGUGGGCUUGCGGUGGAUACGGGCAGACUUGAGUUCGGUAGGGGAGACUGGAAUUCCUGGUGUAGCGGUGAAAUGCGCAGAUAUCAGGAGGAACACCGGUGGCGAAGGCGGGUCUGUGGGCCGAUACUGACGCUGAGGAGCGAAAGCGUGGGGAGCGAACAGG